AGAAACGUCAACUUCAACAUGGCGGGAAGAGGAGGAGCAAAGCCGCGUCCAGCCUUCUGUCCGGGCCGGGCACCAGGGCUGUCUGUUCCUCUUCACAACAUGCUGGUCUUGCUUCUUGCCUCCGCUCACACCUUCACAAACACACCGAUGUACCAGGAUGCUGAUACCACUGUGGUCUGAUGGUUCUAGGGGAGUCUGCAAGCCAUGAAAAUUCCUUGGCCAGGGCAGGAGACAAGCGGUGACAUCAUCCUUUUGUUCUUGGGAGUCCCUUGGACUUUCAUGUGAAACUGCUCAUCAACCAGCGACACUGCUAGUCAACAAGUCUGACCGCUCAUCACAAAACAUUUCAAUACAUUCUCUUUGCUUCCCUCCCGGGCCGUCAGGGACAUCAAUCUGGA